rnacentral:rRNA from 1 species
CGGAGGAAAAGAAACUAACGAGGAUUCCCCCAGUAACGGCGAGUGAAGCGGGAAGAGCUCACGUUGUAAAUCUCGCCUUCGGGCGCGAAUUGUAGUCUGGAGAGGCGAGGCCUGCCGCUGUCCGUGGCCAAGUCUGAUUGGAAAUGAGCAUCAUGGAGGGUGACAAUCCCGUUCAUGCCGCGGUAUCGACCAGCGCGCAGAAGGCCCGUUUUCGAAGAGUCGAGUUGCUUGGGAUUGCAGCUCAAAGCGGGUGGUAAACCCCAUCUAAAGCUAAACACGGGGGGGAGACCGAUAGCGAACAAGUACCGUGAGGGAAAGAUGCAAAGAACUUUGAAAAGAGAGUUAAAGAGUGCCUGAAAUUGCUGGAAGGGAAGCGAAGGAAAGAGGUGUGCGGUUGCCGGAGCGCCAACCCCCAUCUGCCUGUCUUGGUGUGGGGGUAGGCCGCUCCGCCGCGGUCAGGGGCUGCGCCGGGUUCGCGAGAGGAUCCGCGCUGGAUCGGUAGCCAUCCCUUCGGGGAAGGUGUCAGGCCGGCGUCGGUGGCGUCGCGAGUCCCGGCCCCCUUCUGGCGGUCGCGGCUUUUCUUCACCCCGUCUUGAAACACGGACCAAGGAGUCU